rnacentral:tRNA from 1 species
GGCCCCGUGGCUUAGCUUGGUAGAGCGCACGACUGAUAAUCGUGAAGUCCCGAGUUCAAAUCUCGGCGGGGCCA